GGAGGUGUAGCUCAAUGGUAGAGCGCCCCGGUGAAAUCGGGGUAGUGGUGGUUCGAGUCCAUCCGUCUCCG
rnacentral:tRNA from 1 species